rnacentral:rRNA from 1 species
AGGACUAACGCUGGCGGCGUGCCUAACACAUGCAAGUCGAACGGGGUAGCAAUACCCAGUGGCAGACGGGUGAGUAACACGUGGUCAACCUACCUCUAUGUGGGGGAUAACUAGCCGAAAGGUUAGCUAAUACCGCAUACGAUCGCUUUGGGGCAUCCCUAGGCGAUGAAAGGAGCAAUCCGCAUAGAGAGGGGACUGCGUCCCAUUAGUUAGUUGGUGGGGUAACGGCCUACCAAGACUCCGAUGGGUAGCUGGCUUGAGAGAGCGACCAGCCACACUGGAACUGAGACACGGUCCAGACUCCUAUGGGAGGCAGCAGUGAGGAAUUUUCCGCAAUGGGCGAAAGCCUGACGGAGCGACGCCGCGUGUGGGAAGAAGGCCUUCGGGUCGUAAACCACUGUCGAAGGGGACGAUAAUGACGGUACCCUUGGAGGAGCCCGGCUAACUACGUGCCGAGCAGCCGC